rnacentral:misc_RNA from 1 species
CCGAGUGCGGCCCCUUCGGGGUGCCAACCUCCCACCCGUGUCUACGUACCACGUUGCUUCGGCGGGCCCGCCCCCAACCUUGGGGGCCGCCAUGGGGCUUCGGCCCCCGUGCGAGCGCCCGCCGGAGACCACACGAACGCUGUCUGAAGACUGCCGUCUGAGUGGAUUUUCAAAUCAGUCA